GCUGGGCACAGUGACACAUGCCUGUAAUUCCUGCAACUCAGGAGGCUGAGGCAGGAGGACCUAAAAUUUAAAGCCAGCCUCAGUAAUAUAGUGAGGCUCUAAGCAUAUUAGUAAGACCCUGUCUCAA
rnacentral:sRNA from 1 species